rnacentral:rRNA from 1 species
CCUACGGGUGGCACCAGUGGGGAAUAUUGCACAAUGGGCGCAAGCCUGACGCAGCCAUGCCGCGUGUAUGAAGAAGGCCUUCGGGUUGUAAAGUACUUUCAGCGGGGAGGAAGGCGAUAAGGUUAAUAACCUUGUCGAUUGACGUUACCCGCAGAAGAAGCACCGGCUAACUCCGUGCCAGCAGCCGCGGUAACACGGAGGGUGCAAGCGUUAAUCGGAAUUACUGGGCGUAAAGCGCACGCAGGCGGUCUGUCAAGUCGGAUGUGAAAUCCCCGGGCUCAACCUGGGAACUGCAUUCGAAACUGGCAGGCUAGAGUCUUGUAGAGGGGGGUAGAAUUCCAGGUGUAGCGGUGAGAUGCGUAGAGAUCUGGAGGAAUACCGGUGGCGAAGGCGGCCCCCUGGACAAAGACUGACGCCCAGGUGCGAAAGCGUGGGGAGCAAACAGGAUUAGAUACCCUGGUAGUC